rnacentral:rRNA from 1 species
GCCCGCUACAGAAACUACAAAGGAAUUGACGGGGGCCCGGCACAAGCGGAGGAGCAUGUGGUUUAAUUCGAUGAUACGCGAGGAACCUUACCUGGGCUCGAACGUAAGAUGACUGUAGGUGAAAGCUUACAUCUCUUCGGAGCAUUUUACGAGGUGCUGCAUGGUUGUCGUCAGCUCGUGCCGUGAGGUGUCGGGUUAAGUCCCAUAACGAGCGCAACCCCUACCUUUAGUUGCCAUCAGGUUAAGCUGGGGACUCUAAAGGAACUGCCUACGCAAGUAGUGAGGAAGGCGGGGAUGACGUCAAAUCAGCACGGCCCUUACGUCCAGGGCUACACACGUGCUACAAUGGCCGAUACAGAGGGCAGCUACCUGGUGACAGGAUGCAAAUCUCCAAAGUCGGUCUCAGUUCGGAUCGGAGUCUGCAACCCGACUCCGUGAAGUUGGAUUCGCUAGUAAUCGCGCAUCAGCCAUGGCGCGGUGAAUACGUUCCCGGGCCUU